rnacentral:misc_RNA from 1 species
GUGAAUCAUCGAAUUUUUGAACGCAAAUUGCGCUUCCUGGCAUCCCGGGAAGUAUGCCUGUUUGAGGGGCAGUAUUAACAAAAAAUCGGUUUGGUUGCAAAUUGUGACGUUUCCGGAGUUUGGGCUAUCUUAACUUUUUUGGUUAAGGGGCUUAAAAUUGACCUUAUUUGCGCAUUUUUAGACGUACAUAAAUUUUUUUUAAUCGGCUUUUCUUAAUUCCAAAAUCUUAUUAGAAUGGAAUACA